AUUGAACGCUGGCGGAAUGCUUUACACAUGCAAGUCGAACGGCAGCACGGGGCAACCUGGUGGCGAGUGGCGAACGGGUGAGUAAUAUAUCGGAACGUGCCCAAUCGUGGGGGGAUAACGUAGCGAAAGUUACGCUAAUACCGCAUACGAUCUACGGAUGAAAGCGGGGGAUCGCAAGACCUCGCGCGAAUGGAGCGGCCGAUAUCAGAUUAGGUAGUUGGUGGGGUAAAGGCUCACCAAGCCAACGAUCUGUAGCUGGUCUGAGAGGACGACCAGCCACACUGGAACUGAGACACGGUCCAGACUCCUACGGGAGGCAGCAGUGGGGAAUUUUGGACAAUGGGCGCAAGCCUGAUCCAGCCAUUCCGCGUGCAGGAUGAA
rnacentral:rRNA from 1 species